rnacentral:tRNA from 1 species
GCGAAAGUGGCGGAACUGGUAGACGCGCAGGUCUCAGAAGCCUGUGACCGCUAGGUCAUGGGGGUUCGAUUCCCCCCUUUCGCACCA